rnacentral:rRNA from 1 species
GAAACUAAAAGAAUUUGGCGGCAAUUUGAUUUUUUAGAGGAAUUUGUCUUUUAAUCGAUAUUCCUCGUGGAAUUUACCUAUUCUUGUUUAGCUUAUAUAUCGUUGUUGUUAGAAUAUAUUUUUAGAUUUAUUUUCUUAAUUUUUAAAGAUAGAAAUUCAGAUCAAGGUUUAGUUAAUGUUUAGGUUAAGAUGAAUUACAAUAAGUGUAUUUAUUACGGAAAAAUUAUUUAAUUAUUUAGGAAGGUGGAUUUAAGAGUAAUUUUUUUAUGAAAGGUAUUGUGAAGUUGAUUCCGAUUUGUGC